UCUGUGCUGCCAGGAGGCCACUUAAAGAAAUCAAAUAGUAGAAUAUCUUCCUGAUAUCACCUAUCAAGACACAGGUAAGGAAUUAUUUGAUCUCGAGGAGUAGUUCUCAGAGGCGUCUCUGCUCAAGGGGAAGAUACUGGCAUGCAACCCGCUGCAGUGCAGGAGAGCUCAACAGGCUCUGAGCUGGCCUUUGUUUAUGGGGUUAUAGACCUAAUUAAACACAAAAAGAACAGAAGCUAUCUUUCCACUUGAAUUUAAGUGCAGGAGGAGAAUAACUGUAACCUUCUUUCAAGCAGUCCACCUGGUAAGGAGUGAACCAUCAGACCAUGUUCUGGCCUGUUUUAUUGAGCUGGGAAAAUGGGUCUUUAUAGUGCUUAUGGGUUUCUUUUUCCACAAGCCAUCCAGCCUUGAACUCAACAGAGAUUAUAUCCUUAGGCUACU